rnacentral:rRNA from 1 species
UACGUAGGGGGCUAGCGUUAUCCGGAAUUACUGGGCGUAAAGGGUGCGUAGGUGGUUUCUUAAGUCAGAGGUGAAAGGCUACGGCUCAGCCGUAGUAAGCCUUUGAAACUGGGGAACUUGAGUGCAGGAGAGGAGAGUGGAAUUCCUAGUGUAGCGGUGAAAUGCGUAGAUAUUAGGAGGAACACCAGUUGCGAAGGCGGCUCUCUGGACUGUAACUGACACUGAGGCACGAAAGCGUGGGGAGCAAAUAGG